rfam:Schistosoma rodhaini strain Burundi genome assembly, scaffold: SROB_scaffold0001324
AUCCAGCUGACGAGUCCCAAAUACAGCGAAGUGACGUACGUCCUGGAU